CAUGUGGUUCAAUUCGACGCAACGCGAAGAACCUUACCCAGGCUUGAACAGCGAGUGACCACUUCCGAAAGGAAGCUUCGCAAGGACACUCGUAGAGGUGCUGCAUGGCUGUCGUCAGCUCGUGUCGUGAGAUGUGGGUUAAGUCCCGCAACGAGCGCAACCCUUGUCUUCUGUUGCCAUCAGGUUAUGCUGGGCACUCUGAAGAGACUGCCGGUGAUAAACCGGAGGAAGGUGGGGAUGACGUCAAGUCAGCAUGGCCUUUAUGUCUGGGGCUACACACGUGCUACAAUGGCAGAUACAAACCGUCGCGAUACCGCGAGGUGGAGCUAAUCGGAGAAAGUCUGUCUCAGUUCGGAUAGCAGGCUGCAACUCGCCUGCUUGAAGUUGGAAUCGCUAGUAAUCGCGGAUCAGCACGCCGCGGUGAAUACGUUCCCGGGCCUU
rnacentral:rRNA from 1 species